GACCUGAUAGCACAGUUGGUUAGAGCAUCUGCUCAAAAUAAACAUCAUUUCGCAGAGUAAGCAGAAGACCCUCGUUCGAUUCGGGGUCAGGCCA